UGUUUAUCAUCGGCGUAAAAAAGAAAUAGGAGCACUUAAAGUUUAAACACACUGGAUGCACUCUGCGACCUGCUUUUGGCAUUUACUUGACUCACUUUCCAUGUUUAACUCCACCUCAACUCAUCCGUUGUUUAAAGCGGGAUCAAAGUCAUAACCCUGGGAUUCGUAAAACCCACCGUGCUGUCUGGCCUUGGAAAAUUAUUGUCCCUGGAUCUGGUUUGCCUCCAGAUUUCCGUGAAGAUCCACCUGCCGCAACUUGAAAGCCCAUUUGUGGAUGAAGAGGAAGCUCUCUCUGUCAGAACUCCUGACCCAUUCAUCAUCAUGCUGGCUGAUGAUGGAGAAGGACAGGUGAAGGACAGCCGCGGGAACCAGUGCACGGUGACGCCCGCUUUGCAUUAUGGGUAGGCUCUCAUUAAGUCAGGCGAUAUUGUGCAAGCUGGACUUCAGCCCCAUUGAGUCAAUGUCAAUAGUUCCACCUGUGACUCCUUCCCAAAGUGACUAUUUAUUGAUGCCUUUGUGAAUGUAUAAGUGUGUGUGUGUGUGUGUGUGUGUGUGAUUGGGAGUGGGGUGGGGGACAUUCAGACUUUGCUGCACAUUAGCAGCAUUGUUAGACCUGGUUCGCUAAUAUUCACAGCUGCGAAUUCAGCCAUAAUCAUUUAGAGACAGUAACUCAUCUAACUGCAUGCCUUUGGACUGCAAGAGAAAACCCAUAUUAUUGCAGAGAGAAAUCGAACCUGCAACCCUGGGGGUGUUUGGGGCCGGCACUAUACGAUGAGAAAGAAAUCUAAAUUUAUUACUUAUUUUCCUGCGCAAGACUUGAGGCAGAAACUGUAAUAAUAAAUCAAAGAUAUUUGAAAUUAAACAGGUAAAAAGGAUGACAUUUAAUCCACCAUCCAAGAUUUGUGGCAAAAUCAAUUAUAAAAAGACCCAUGGAAGAAAUAUUCUGGUAAAUUAUCUGUAAUGUCUUUGCUUGCUACUCAGUAAUUCACACUUUGGCCCUUAUCAUCGGAAAUUCCUUCUUUGGCCUUAUUCUGACUGAGAAAUGCCCUAAACAUCUCCAGUAAAUCAGCACAUACGGCGUGGUGUUCAUUUCUGUGAUCCAGGUUAACAGGAGGGGCCUUUUCAUAUUCAUCUGUCUUCCAUAACCUCGUAUCCAGUGACGGAGGCACAGGACACAAAGUUACAGCUUAAGCGCGUGUCACUUUGUCCCGAUCAGCAGGUCGCACCUGCCCUCUCCCCUCAGCACUCACUCACGUACCAUCGCUACGUGCAGGACACCCAACAGCUCAUACUUCACCACAUCACACUGCGCACACACACACUCACAAACACAAUCACACAGUAAGGGAAGCCAGUAGACCCUAUGUAAAUCGGGGAACUUUGCUCCAGAAAUGUUGUUCAAAUGGAUAACUUUUUUAUCAUUAUUAUGAUUCGACCAAAUUAAGGAGAGGGAACCAUGAUGAUGGACAUCCAAGAUUAUUAUUGACCAUGUGCAGCAGGUGGAUUGGAACGCUUGUUCAGCUAUACCUGGGUACAAAGAGAAUACAUAAUUAAAGUAAUUCAGGGGAACAUAUUUACAUUUAUUUUUCAGACACAUUUAUUCAAAACAACUUACAGCAGAUUAGUGUUUCUCAAAGCAACAAAGUUUCCCUGGACAUUCCACAUUUUUGCUCCCAGGCUGGGAGGAAGCAAAAAUGUGGACUGACCGGCAGAUCAAAAAAACACUACGUUAGAGUGAAGGGUUAUAAUUAGUGUGUGUUCCCUAGGAUCUGAACCAAUAACCUCUGCAUUGUUAGCACACUGCAACACCUGUUGAGCUACAGGAAUAUGUACAUAUGUGCACAUAUGUGCGACAUCACUGAUAAUUGUAAAAGUGAUUCUUAAAUCAAAGGACCUGCCCAUGAUAUGGGAGACGUUAAUUUACAUAUGAAUAUAAUGGCUGAGCUAGCCAUUAAAGCUAAUACGGUUUUAGCGGGGAUGGGGACCGAGGUGUGUUCCCGUCCCUGUUACCCUGCAUUUGAUGACAGGCACUUUUUUCGGCUAAGCGUGAGGCUGAUGAAACACAUCGAGGCUCCCUCUUCUAAUUCUGGGGUUGUAUGAAAUGUGAUUAAAGGAGCUGCCGGUGGCCUAUAACUCGUUCAGCCGGAAGACGAGCCAGAAAGUCCAGGGCAAUCCUUCAGAAGGCAGAGUUUGUUCAGCCAGAGGGGACAAAGUACCUUGCUAGUUGUGCCUGUCUAGGUGUGACCGUGGAGCUCCACACCCCAAUUGUUUGACAUAUUGCCAUUUCCUUCAGCAAGGUCCUGUUUCUCCCGGAUGGACCCCUGGAUGCCGUCCAUACAACUGCCUGGCAAACAGCCAGACUCUGUCCCUCUUUGUCUUUUUUCCUCUUUUUUCACUGCGCUCCCUCUGAAUGAAUGCAAGUCAGACUGCUGAAGGUGUCACUAAUCUGAUGCCUUCCAGGGUGCAAGAAGACAGGCUGCAAUGAGCCAAAUUUUACUGUCAAUUUAUAAGGCACAUUAGAAUACACCCUCUUACCCCAAAUAUAUUGUAAAAAAGAUUCUUCUUCACAUUUAUAGUUUCAACAGUUAUUCAUUUGUAAUAAAAUUACAAGUGUAUACAUUAAAUUGCCUUUGUUUAAAUAAUUAUAAGUUCAUUCUUUUCUAAUGGGCAGAAUAAAAUUGUCACGUUAAAAAGAUCCAUUAAUAGCCAUUUUAUUUAUGUUUAUAGUGCCAUCUAGUGGAAAUUGACCGUUAUAUUUUAAUGCAAUUCAUUUUAAGGGCUCUCGUUCACUGCAAAACUCAUUUUAGAUUUGGAUUUUGCAUUCUUCUGUCUUCGGUGGAAAUAGUACUCUGAUGUAAAUCUCAGGUUCAUUCUCCUCAGGGCUUUCUUGCAAACUUGUUGCCAUGUUAGCAAAUUUUUGAGGUCAGAUUCUUUGGCCAGAAUUGUUUCAGGUAAUUUAAAGUGACAUUUAAUCAGUAAAACAGUAGGUAACUGGCUGAAGUUCUGCCCUUUUUAAAAACUUAUAUUGCUUCAGUUGAGUCACUAUAUACACUUUCCCACCAAAAGUCAGUACCCCACUGACUGAGGCACAAUGGUUUCAGCUACGAAAUAUGCAAAUCAACACUCUGAUGCCCUAUAUCCAUUUGAUGGAAUAUCUUUGGGAUAAAACAAGGACAAAGCUGACACCGGUACCAGACUGUAUUAAUGCUGUAGAGGAGGUGUGGAGUGCAACCAGAAUGCAGGGGAGACGAUACCAGACCUCAAGGCCAACGCAGGCCAGCAAGCCAUUCAUCACUGAGAAUAAAGACAUGUUUUAUUCACACUUUGCCUUACGGGACAGGAAAAAAAGAAUACCAAGGUCAAAGAUAUUAGGCAUGGGAACGAAAUCAUAUAUAUCAUCAUAUAUAUAUCAUCAUAUAUAUAUGUGUGUGUGUGUGUGUGUGUGUGUGUGCAAAAUGCUCAAAAGACAUCCAUCCAUCCAUCCAUCCAUCUAUCCAUUUUUGCACCUGCUUGUCCGAUUUAGCAACAGAUUCACACAGCUGCACCGCUCCAGCGAGUGCUUUUCCCCCAGCGGCCAUCGAAUGCUACAA